CCAUUUGUUUCCUAUUUUUCUCAACAAAAAACUCGAUGAGUUGCAGACACGUUGGAGGGAUUGAAGUUGAAGCUUUUCUUCCUUCAAAAACAUAUGAAUAUAAUAUACUAUCAAAUAUGAGGAAAGAGAUUCCACCUGAAUUUUCGACGUGGUUUUGCCGGUGGAACGAGAGAUUCCACCUGAUUCUUUCGAGAAGAUCUGAAAACUCAUGGAUCGGUUUGACGGAUCGCCAAAUCUCAUGCUGGUCACUGACCUCGAUUGCACUCUGGUCGAUCACGAUGAUCCGGACAAUACCCAUCUCCUUCGAUUCAACGCUCUCUGGGAAGCAUACUUCCGCCGUGAUUCGCUGCUUGUCUUCUCCACCGGGAGGUCGUCGAUUUCCUACUCGAAUUUGAGGAGGAAGAAGCCAUUGCUGACGCCCGACAUCGCCAUAACUUCUGUUGGUGCCGAGAUUAUGUAUAGCGGCCAAUCUGUGCUGAUAGAUGAUGACUGGGAGGCUCUUUUGGACCAUAAAUGGGACAGAGAUAUUGUUGUUGAAGAAACAUCCAAGUUCCCGGAACUCAAGCCCCAGGCGGAGAAGAACCAAGGACGUCACAAAGUUAGUUUCAAUGUGGAAAGGGAUAAAGCCAUGGAAAUAAUGGAGGUUCUUCCAGAACGACUAGAGAAACGUGGGUUGGAUACGAAGCUGAUUUAUAGUAACGACUUUGCUUUCGAUGUAUUACCAAGAGGAGCCGGAAAAGGAGGGGCUCUAUCAUAUUUGCUUGAGAAGCUGAAAAUGGAAGGCAGAGAGCCUCUUAAGAUACUAGUUUGUGGCGACUCUGGAAAUGAUGCUGAACUUUUCGGCUUUUCUCAAGCAUAUGGCGUAAUGGUUGGUAAUUCACACGACGAAUUGUUGCAAUGGCAUGAAGAAAAUGUAAAGAGCAACCCCAAUAUAAUUCACGCAACCGGGAGAUGUGCUGCUGGUAUCAUAGAAGCCAUUCAAAGAUUUGAUAUGGGACCAAGCCUGUCCCCGAGGGAUGUUUUGGGUUCUUCUGGAUUCUGGAUUGAAAAUCACGAGCCUGCUCUUGAGGUGGUGCAGUUUUAUUUGUUUUAUGAGAAAUGGCGGCGUGGAGAGGUUGAGAAAUCCGACAAGUGUUUGCAGAGUUUGAAAUCACACUUUAAUCCACUCUCUACCUUUGUUCAUCCCUCGGGAGAGGAGCAACCAAUAUAUGGAUGCAUAGAUGAGAUGGAAAAAUUACAUGGGGAUAUGAAGGAAAAGCAAUAUCACAUCUGGUUGGAUGGAGUUUCAUCUUCUCAGAUAGGUUCAGAUACAUGGCUCGCAAAAUUUGACAAGCAUGAGAUGUCUGCAGAAGGGAAUGUCCGAUCCUGUUCAACAAAAGUCUUACUAAAUUAUAAGAUGAGUGAUAAGCCUUUCCGGGUUGAUGCGAGGAAGAAGAAGAAACGAGAAGAAAGGGGAGGAGCAGCAGAAAAGGUGGGGCCAGAUCAGUUUUCAAAGAAGAAGCCAGGAGCAGCAAAGGAGCAGUAGUAGAGGAACAUUCCUGGCAGAGAAUAAAUGCAGAGGACGUUAUGUUAUGUGCAUACAUGCUUUUAGGUUGUUGUAUGGGAAGAGAGGGUAUGCCUCUUGGUUAAAGAAUUCAUCAUAGAGUGCUUGUUCCAGCAAAUUUGAUAGCUCUUUUGACUGGAAUGCAACAGCGUCGUUAGGUGAAAUGAUUACAUGGAAGUUGGAACGGACAUGUUGGAGCAGUUGGGAUAUGCCAUCUGAAUUGUGAUGAUGUCCGGCGCAAAAUAAAUGUUUCUGAAAUGUCUGAAUUUUCUCAUUGUUUUGCAGACCAGAAUUGGUUCUGGUUUGGAACAUGGAGGGAUAUGUAAACAGAACAGAGCCUGCCUCCUAAGCUGCACAUUUGAUGUAUUUCAUUUAGUUAUAUGCACCUGUUUGUGCUUUUGAUGAAAUAACACAACAAUAUGCUGAAACACAGUCUCUCCCCGAUU